UACCCGCGCCCCGAGUGGUGAUCACGAUUAUUGGGCUUAAAGCGUUCGUAGCCGGCUCUGCAAGUUCCUGGUGAAAUCGAUCGGCAAACCGAUCGGCUUGCUGGGGAUACUGCAUUGCUCGGGACCGGGAGAGGUUAGAGGUACUCCAGGGGUAAGGGUAAAAUCUUAUAAUCCUUGGGGGACCACCUGAUGGAGAUUGCCAACUCGUUUGGCCGUCACCAGGUGAAUGGCGAAGGCGUCUAACU
rnacentral:rRNA from 1 species